UUGCUCCGCAUGGGAGGGGGGCGGGCCUAUACAUGCAGUCGAGCGAGCUGAAUUCAAAGAUUCCUUCGGGAUGAUUUGUUGGACGCUAGCGGCGGAUGGGUGAGUAACACGUGGGCAAUCUGCCCUAAAGACUGGGAUACCACUUGGAAACAGGUGCUAAUACCGGAUAACAACAUGAAUCGCAUGAUUCAAGUUUGAAAGGCGGCGUAAGCUGUCACUUUAGGAUGAGCCCGCGGCGCAUUAGCUAGUUGGUGGGGUAAAGGCCUACCAAGGCAAUGAUGCGUAGCCGAGUUGAGAGACUGAUCGGCCACAUUGGGACUGAGACACGGCCCAAACUCCUACGGGAGGCAGCAGUAGGGAAUCUUCCACAAUGGACGCAAGUCUGAUGGAGCAACGCCGCGUGAGUGAAGAAGGUUUUCGGAUCGUAAAGCUCUGUUGUUGGUGAAGAAGGAUAGAGGCAGUAACUGGUCUUUAUUUGACGGUAAUCAACCAGAAAGUCACGGCUAACUACGUGCCAGCAGCCGCGGUAAUACGUAGGUGGCAAGCGUUGUCCGGAUUUAUUGGGCGUAAAGCGAGCGCAGGCGGAAUGAUAAGUCUGAUGUGAAAGCCCACGGCUCAACCGUGGAACUGCAUCGGAAACUGUCAUUCUUGAGUGCAGAAGAGGAGAGUGGAAUUCCCAUGUGUAGCGGUGGAAUGCGUAGAUAUAUGGAAGAACACCAGUGGCGAAGGCGGGCUCUCUGGUCUGCAACUGACGCCUGAGGCUCGAAAGCAUGGGGUAGCGAACAGGGAUUAUAUACCCUGGUAGUCCCAUUGCCCGUACAACCGAUGC
rnacentral:rRNA from 1 species